rnacentral:rRNA from 1 species
UAACGAAUCUUCCGCAAUGCACGAAAGUGUGACGGAGCGACGCCGCGUGGAGGACGAAGUCCUUCGGGAUGUAAACUCCUGUCAGGGGUUACCAAGUUCUGAGGAGCCCCAGAGGAAGGCACGGCUAACUCUGUGCCAGCAGCCGCGGUAAGACAGAGGUGCCAAGCGUUAGGCGGAAUCACUGGGCUUAAAGCGCGUGUAGGUGGCGGCCUAAGUACCUUGUGAAAUCCUGCGGCUCAACCGCAGAACUGCUUGGUAUACUGGGUCGCUUGAGCCAUCCAGGGGCAACUGGAACAAGCGGUGGAGCGGUGAAAUGCGUAGAUAUCGCUUGGAACGCCAAAGGUGAAAACAGGUUGCUGGGGAUGUGCUGACACUGAGACGCGAAAGCCAGGGGAGCGAACGGGAUUAGAUACCCCCGUAGUCC